UUAAUGUUUACAUUUUUUGUAGAGACAGGGUUUUGCCAUGUUGCCUGGGCUGGUCUUGAACUCCUGAGCUCAAGUGAUCCACCCACGUCGACCUCCCAAAGUGCUGCGAUUACAGUGGAGAAUUAAGAAGAAAGGAAGAAGGAAAGAGGACCACAUUGCAGAGUUUUUUGCAGGGAAGGGACAGUCGUUGAAAAAAAAAAAAAGCGCUGCUACAGUAUGUGAAAACAUUGGAUGGGAAAGGGAUGAAGGGGGAAUUCUAAGAAGUCUCAUGGGAAACUAAAUGUUUCUAUAGUGUUCAAAAUGUACAAAUAAAGUAUGCGGAAUAUUUUUAAAU
rnacentral:lncRNA from 10 species